rnacentral:lncRNA from 1 species
AGAGACCGAGAGCAGGGACCUGCUCAUUUGAUUUCAGCACUAGCAGGUCUCUGGAGAAGAUAAUGAAAGGUGCUCAGAAAAGGGUAGGUUUCUACUCUGUAUAUCUCAGCAGGGGGCCAUACUACACACAGAACUCCAAGAAACUUCAGGAAAGAGCCAGAGGUUCAAAUAUUUUAAAAAGGGGUUUUUUGGUUUGUGAAGUCUGCUGGUUGAUUGGAGAACAUGAAUAUCAGGAUUCUGAAGGCAUGUCCAUUGAGACACACUGGACACGCAAAUGUGUGUGGUGGAAGUGGUUAAUCUUCACUUUGUUGGACUGGAAGUUGUUCCGAUGUUAUGAAAGUGGAUCAUGUGCUCGUGUGGUGGGGACCUGUUUCAUCCGGCUCAGCUCGUCCACACUGUGCAGCAAAAUGAAUCAUGCCACACUUGAUCUUGCUGGACCAGUUCCUCCACACUUUUUAUUUUUCCUUUUGCUACAGGCAAUCAGCAGUCACCUCCCUAUAAGAAGUGGAGCUGUUGUGUGUAACCUAAAUUGCACUGAAUUCCUUAAGUCUGUCAGAUUCUAAACCAGUUUGGUUUUCACAGUAAGACAGCAUCGCGAUGCCGCUGAUGUUGGCCCUCCUUGUUGUCCACAUAUACUCAAUCCAGCAGCCUCUGCGCUGAGUGUCUGUCUCAGGACUUGCUGAAAGGACUGAAUCUCUGCAGUGUGGACGUUUACACCCUGCAAUCCUGUAAGCAGACUCUCAAAACUGGUGGAAAGCCUUGACCUGUUUUCUGUGCAUGCAAGAUUACUCAGAAGGAAUUAAGUUCAAGCAAGGAACAAGGGUAAUAAAGCCCAAGGCCACCCAUAGGAAUUUAUUUUCUGUCUAUUUCCAGCAAGGCUUGCCCAUUAUAACCCAGCCUUACUGUUUCAUGGGUUAAGGAGAAGAGAGAGCUCUUUUAUUCAAAUAUAUUUUAUUUAAAACUCUUCUAGUAAUAGGAUGAAAUUUUAACAGUGAAAACAAAGCAAAAGCUGAUUGAGAGAUAGGGAGACCCUGAGACAGACGGUUAUUUUGCCCAUUCCUGGUCUAUGAAACCAUCUGUUUUAUUGGGCUUAGACUGUGGAACGUCCUUGAGUUUAUCUUCUGGAGUUAAUUUGUUAGGCACAAUUAACUCAAGGAGGAGCCACAUAUCAUUACCCAGUUUCCCUUCUAGGGGAGAUCUAGAAGCUUUCUCCAUAGAGACUAAACCGUCAGAGCCCUAUAUUUGGUUUCUGUGGUCAGUGAGCCACUAUAGAAGGCAUUCACAAAGCAGUCCACAAGCUUUUUUUUGGGCCAGGUUGAGUCGCGUGUUAGUCACUGGCAG